AAAUGUAGAAACGGCGCCCUCCCCUUUUUACUGUUUAUCUUCUUCGGCCGAUUCAACCCUCACGAGUUCACUCAAAUGGGUCCACUACUCUCCACUCACUUUAUUCCAACGAUUUUCUGUCGGAGAAGAGAGAAUAUUCCCGAAUUCGCACGAUUUCUGUACUAUAGGGCGAUUUGCUGGAUAAAUGGGAGUCGUGGAUGGAUGUAAAUCGAUCCAUGACUUCCAUUUGUCCCAAAAAUCGUUCAAAAACGCGAGGAUUUUCGGAUAUUUGGGCAGAAGCUUCGAGAUUUUUUGAGGGUUAUAUAUAAGGUAAGUUUUCUUGUUUAAGGGGUAAGGAAAAAAGGAGAGAAAAAGUUUCAGAAGUUUUUUCCUUUUCUGCAGGCCUUUUUCUUUUUGUCUACUCUCUUCAGACAAACGAAAAAAAAUUAAAAAUGUUCUGAGUUUUAGUUUCUUCAUGUGAGUUUCAUUUUCAAAGAAAUCGAAGAAAAACACAAAACACACAUUUUCGGCGAUUUUUUGUUGAUUCUGGGUUCUCAAGAAUGGUUUUGAUUUGAGUUGGUUUUCUAGUUUUCAAAGCUUUGGAUUCGCCGUUGAUUCCUGUUGAUUUUUUGCUGCUGAUUUGCUGUGCUCUUCACUUUCACUUAGCCUUUAUUUGGCAUUUUGCUAGUUGAUUCACCUGCUGCCAAGGUACGUUUGUUUGACUUAGCGAUUUUCGUGUUGUAGAGUUCGAAUUUCAGAUUCAAUGCAAAUGGUGUAUUCCUCAUGGGCUUUGUUUUGGUAUGAAUUUUAUCAUGUUUGUUCUGUGUCAAAUCGUUCUGCUGACUUACUGGUGGUUUAACUUUCCUUGUUAGUUGUUGUGAUUUCUAAGAUGCAUACUUUAGUUUCUCACAAAAAUCAGACGUAAAUGCAUUGAUAUAUAGCUUUAGAAUUUUGACUGGUAUUCAAUUUUGUUUCAAGGGCUUCACUGCCACACCAAGGGGUUAAUUGUAGUAGUUGAGUGUAGUUCCUAAUUUGAAGUUUGAGAGCUAUUUUUGUUAACACGUGAUAUUUUGCAAAGCUAUUUGGUAAUCAACAACAACAACAACAACCCAGUGUAAUCCCAAAAGUGGGGUCUGGGGAGGUAAUAUGUACGCAGACCUUACCUCUACCCGAGGGGCAGAGAGGCUGUUUCCAGGAGACCAUCGGCUCAAAGAGGCAACAAGAAACACUAUAUUAGUACUAUCAAUAGACUCAUAAUAAAACAACAUAAAAUCCAUAACAUAACAUAAAUACCAUAAAAUAACAAAGUAACAACAAUAUAAGAGAUAUAGGAAAUACGAGAAAGAUGUAAGGUAUUAAUACACAACAGAUAAAGCCUAUCAUCAGUAGUUGAUCAAUAACAUCCUAAGACUAAUUCCUAAUUGGCUAGUCUCACUCUAGUGCGCUGUCGAAAAGACAUCACAAUUUCCCCUAACCUACAACCUUAAUGCUCGAUCUCCACAAUUCUCUGUUUAGGGCCAUGUCCUCAGUAACUGAAAAAUGUUGAUUCCAGACAAACAUGAAAUUCAGCUUGAUAAACUCCCAUAUUUGUAUGCCUGAAUCAGCUGUACUUGGUGUUAAAUUACUAAUUGUUGAACUAGCUUACAUAAAUAAGAAGCCGUGGUGUAUUGAAUAAUUAAACCUCAGUUUAUGAACAUGUCAAACCUUCAGAUAUUCUUAUCACUGAGUUUUGGUACCAGCUGAAAUGGAAACUAUAUAGCCUGGAGAUAUGUAUGUGUUUUCAUAUGGAGAAUGGGAAAGGAUGCCUAAAUGCAGAUCUGUUUUCAAGUGGUCUCGAUGUUCUUUUAUGGUUGUCUAUGUAAUUGUGACUAUGGCUGCUUGGGCACUGUGGUUUCACAUGUAGAAGGGAGAGUACAAAGAAUGUCUCUGUUUAGCCUAAUGAUUUAGAAGUUUAGUAGAAUAAUUAUGCUACUGUUUGAAAGUUAUGUAGAUUGAAUGUAGUUGCAUUAAAGCUCAGCUGCUGCAAUAAGUCAUUUUGUACUGAAAGUUUUCAUCAGAAUAGGUGUUUGAUUUUAACAAUGGUAUGUUACGGUUAAGAAAUUUGUAUUUACAAAGUUGGGCCAUUUGGGUUUUAGAAUUGAUUUGUUCAAGUUAUUGGCUGAGUUUCCUUAAUGUUCG
rnacentral:lncRNA from 1 species